AGAAUGAACGUUGGCGGCGUGGAUUAGGCAUGCAAGUCGAGGGAGAACCCGCAAGGGGGACACCGGCGAACGGGGUAGGACCAUCUCGGUAACGUACCCUCCGGACGGGGAUAGCCACGGGAAACUGUGGGUAAUACCCGAUGACCUGGCAGGCGUUUAGGGCUUGUCAGCAAAGGUGAGAUUCCACCGGAGGAGCGGCUGAGACGCUAUUAGCUUGUUGGUGAGGUAACGGCUCACCAAGGCGACGAUGGCUAGGGGGUGUGAGAGCAUGGCCCCCACCACUGGCACUGAGACACUGGCCAGACACCUACGGGUGGCUGCAGUCGAGAAUCUUCGGCAAUGGGCGCAAGCCUGACCGAGCGACGCCGCGUGCGGGAUGAAGGUCUUCGGAUUGUAAACCGCUGUCGGAGGGGAUGAAGUGUAUGGGAGCUAUCUCCUGUAUUUGACAGAGCCUCGGAGGAAGCACGGGCUAAGUUCGUGCCUGCAGCCGCGGUAAUACGAACUGUGCAAACGUUAUUCGGAAUCACUGGGCUUAAAGGGUGCGUAGGCGGUCGCACAAGUCAGGUGUGAAAUCCCCCGGCUCAACCGGGGAACAGCGCUUGAAACUAGGUGACUAGAGUGAGGUAGGGGUACGCGGAACUUCUGGUGGAGCGGUGAAAUGUGUAGAUAUCAGAAGGAACGCCGGUGGCGAAAGCGGCGUACUGGGCCUUGUCUGACGCUGAGGCACGAAAGCUAGGGAAGUGAACGGGAUUAGAUACCCCGGUAAUCCUAGCCGUAAACACUGAGCACUGGAGGGGAGGGGCUUCGGGCUUUUUCCCUCGUAGCGAAAGCGUUAAGUGCUCCGCCUGGGGAGUAUGGUCGCAAGGUUGAA
rnacentral:rRNA from 1 species